rnacentral:rRNA from 1 species
GGCCUAACACAUGCAAGUCGAACGCUCGCAGCAAUGCGGGAGUGGCGCACGGGUGAGUAACACGUGGGAAUAUACCUUUCGCUGGGGGAUAACUUCGGGAAACUGAAGCUAAUACCGCAUACGCCCUUCGGGGGAAAGAUUUAUCGGCGAGAGAUUAGCCCGCGUCCGAUUAGCUAGUUGGUGAGGUAACGGCUCACCAAGGCGACGAUCGGUAGCUGGUCUGAGAGGAUGAUCAGCCACACUGGGACUGAGACACGGCCCAGACUCCUACGGGAGGCAGCAGUGGGGAAUAUUGGACAAUGGGCGCAAGCCUGAUCCAGCCAUGCCGCGUGAGUUUAAGGCCUUAGGGUUGUAAAGCUC